AUACCUCCCUGCAAGCUGAGGGAGUGGGCUCCGGCCUUGGCCAGCUCAGAAAGGAGCUCCCACAGUGCAGCGGCGGGCUGAAGGGCUCCUCAAGUGCCGCCAAAGUGGGAGCCCAGGCAGAGGAGGCGCAGAGAGCUAGCGAGGGCUGUGAGGACUGCCAGCACGCUGUCACCUCUCAGUGUCUAGGAAGGAAAUAAUCUAAAUCAAUAAAAGAUUUCUACAACAAUUGUGCAGUGCUGUAUGCUUGGGGUACUAAGAGAAAUAUAGCACCUAUAGGAAGAAAGAAAGAAAGGAAGAGCAGAGAGACUAACAGGCAAACAGGGAGAGAAAGUGAGGCAUUUAUUGCAGGGCACCAAGCAAGGAGAAUUGUGCAGUUCAUCCUGAAGACCCAAACUCCCUGAAGUCUUACAUGAUAUUCCAGACUUGUGCUUCCCUUGCCCCAGUCUUGGAAUCACCCAUUUUGAGAAUUUCGUGGGCUUAUUGGAGAUAUCCUCAAAUUGCUCAUCAUCACUUACCUACUGCACUCUACAAAGCGAUGGAGUAAACCAAUAAAGAAGACCUGGGAUUCAGAGAUAAAGUAUGGCACAGAAAAAGCAGUGAUGGGAAGCCUGGGGCCUACAGAGAGAACAGCAUGUGCAGAACAAAAUAUUUGAACUUCUCCAAGAGGAAAUCAUUAGGCUACAGUCAAAGAAUAAAACAAGUUAUUAGAACAUCUGAAAAGUGUGAAGAAGCCCCAUUUCAAGAUGGCCCAAUAGCAACAGCUCUGGUCUGCAGCUCCCAGCGUGAUCGAUGCAGAAGACAGGUGAUUUCUGCAUUUCCAACUGAGGUACUUGGUUCAUCUCAUUGGGACUGGUCAGAAAGUGGGUGCAGCCCACGGAGGGUGAGCUGAAACAGGGCGGGGCAUUGCCUCACCCUAGAAGAGCAAGGGGUCCAGGUAUUUCCCUUUCCUAGCCAAGGGAAGCCAUGACAGACUGUACUGGGAAAAUCUGGAAACUGCCACCUAAACACUGCGAUUUUCCAACAGUCUUAGCAAAUGGCACACUAGGAGAUUAUAUCCCACAUGUGGCUCAGCGGGUCCCUCGCCCACGGAGCCUUGCUCACUGCUAGUCCCAGAUCAAACUGUGAGGGAGCAAGCCUGGCUGGGGGGUGGGGAGUCUGCCAUUGCUGAGGGUUGAGUAGGUAAACAAAGCAGCCAGGAAGCUUGAAUUGGGCAGAGCCCACCACAGCUCAACGAGGCCCACAGGCCUCUAUAGACUCCACCUCUUAGGGCAGGGCAUAGCUGAAAAAAGGCAGCAGAAACUUCUGCAGACUUAAACGUCUCUGUCUGAUAGCACUGAAGAGAGCAAUGGUUCUCCCAGCAUGGUGUUUGAGCUCUGAGAAUGGACAAACAACCUCCUCAAGUGGGUCCCUGACCCCCGUGUAGCCUAACGUGGAGACAUCUCACUGUAGGGGCCAACUGACACCUCAUACAGCCAGGUGCCCCUCUGAGACAAAGCUUCUAGAGGAAGGAUCAGGCAGAAAUAUUUGCUGUCCUGCAAUAUUUGGGUUCUGCAGCCUCUGCUGGUGAAACUCAGGCAACAGGGUCUGGAGUGGACCUCCAGCAAACUCCAACAGACCUGCAGCUGAGGGACCUGACAUUUAGAAAGAAAACUAACAAACAGAAAGGAAUAGCAUCAACAUCAACAAAAAGGACAUCCAAACCAAAGCCCCAUUUGUAGGUCACCAUCAUCACAGACCAAAGUUAGAUAAAACCACAAAGAUGGGGAGAAACCAGAGUAGAAAAACUGAAAAUUCUAAAAACCAGAGCACCCCUUCUUCUCCAAAGGAUCGCAGCUCCUCGCCAGCAACAGAACAAAGCAGGAUGGAGAAUGACUUUGACGAGUUGACAGAAGUAGGCUUCAGAAAGUCAGUAAUAACAAACUUCUCCGAGCUAAAGGAGGAUGUUCGAACCCAUCGCAAGGAAGCUAAAAACCUUGAAGAAAGAUAGACAAAUGGCUAACUAGAAUAAACAGUGUAGAGAAAACCUUAAAUGACCUGAUGGAGCUGAAAACCAUGACACGAGAACUACGUCAUGCAUGCACAAGCUUCAGUAGCCAAUUCGAUCAAAUGGAAGAAAGGUAUCAGUGAUUGAAGAUAAAAUGAAUGAAAUGAAGCGAGAAGAGAAGUUUAGAGAAACAAGAGUGAAAAGAAAUGAACAAAGCCUCCAGGAAAUAUGGGACAAUGUGAAAAGACCAAAUCUACGUUUGAUUGGUGUACCUGAAAGUGACAGGGAGAAUGGAACCUAGCUGCAAAACACUCUUCAGGAUAUUAUCCAGGAGAACUUGCCCACCUAGCAAGGUAGGCCAACAUUCAAAUUCAGGAGAUACAGAGAACACCACAAAGAUACUCCUUGAGAAGAGCAAUCCCAAGACACACAAUUGUCAGAUUCACCAAAGUUGAAAUCAAGGAAAAACUGCUAAGGGCAGCCAGAGAGAAAUGUCGGGUUACCCACAAAGGGAAGCCCAUCAGACUAACAGCUGAUCUUUUGGCAGAAACCCUACAAGCCAGAAGACAGUGGGGGCCAAUAUUCAAUAUUCUUAAAGAAAAGAAUUUCCAAUGCAGACUUUCAUAUCCAGCCAAACUAAGCUUCAUAAGUGAAGGAGAAAUAAAAUCUUUUAUAGAAAAGCAAAUGCUGAGAGAUUUUGUCACCACCAGGCCUGCCUUGUAAGAGCUCCUGAAAGAAGCACUAAACAUGGAAAGGAAAAACUGGUACCAGCCACAGCAAAAACAUGCCAAAUGGUCAAGACCAUUGAUGCUAGGAAGAAACUGCAUCAAUCAAUGGGCAAAAUAACCAGCUAAUAUCAUAAUGACAGGAUCAUAUUCACACAUUACAGUAUUAAGUAUUAACCUUAAAUGUAAGUGGAUUAAAUGCCCCAAUUAAAAGACACAGACUGACAAAUUGGAUAGUCAAGACCCAUCAGUGUACUGUAUUCAGGAGACCCAUCUUACAGGCAGAGACGCACAUGGACUCAAAAUAAAGGGAUGGAGGAAGACGUACCAAUAAAAUGGAAAGC